AACGUAGGAGACAAACGUUAUCCGGAGUUACUGGGCGUAAAGGGCGUGUAGGUGGUAGAGUAAGUCUGGCGUGAAAUUUUUCGGCUUAACCGGGAAAGGUCGUCGGAUACUGCUUAACUAGAGGACGGUAGAGGCGUGUGGAAUUCCGGGUGUAGUGGUGAAAUGCGUAGAGAUCCGGAAGAACACCGGUGGCGAAGGCGGCCUGCUGGGCAGUAGCUGACACUGAGGCGCGACAGCGUGGGGAGCAAACAGG
rnacentral:rRNA from 1 species